AUUGAACGCUGGCGGCAUGCUUUACACAUGCAAGUCGAACGGUAACAGGCCUUCGGGUGCUGACGAGUGGCGAACGGGUGAGUAAUGCAUCGGAACGUACCCAGAGGUGGGGGAUAACGCAGCGAAAGCUGUGCUAAUACCGCAUGUGAUCUGAGGAUGAAAGCGGGGGACCGAGCAGCAAUGUUUGGCCUCGCGCCUUUGGAGCGGCCGAUGUCGGAUUAGCUAGUUGGUGGGGUAAAGGCCUACCAAGGCGACGAUCCGUAGCUGGUCUGAGAGGACGACCAGCCACACUGGGACUGAGACACGGCCCAGACUCCUACGAGAGGCAGCAGUGGGGAAUUUUGGACAAUGGGCGCAAGCCUGAUCCAGCAAUGCCGCGUGCGGGAAGAAGGCCUUCGGGUUGUAAACCGCUUUUGGCAGGAACGAAACGGUGUCCGCUAAUACCGGGCGCUAAUGACGGUACCUGCAGAAUAAGCACCGGCUAACUACGUG
rnacentral:rRNA from 1 species